rnacentral:rRNA from 1 species
GUGCCAGCAGCCGCGGUAAUACCGGCAGCCCGAGUGAUGACCGAUCUUAUUGGGCCUAAAGCGUCCGUAGCUGGCUGCGCAAGUCCGUCGGGAAAUCCACCCGCUCAACGGGCGGCCGUCCGGCGGAACCUGUGUGGCUUGGGACCGGGAGGCCUGAGGGGUACGAUCGGGGUAGGAGUGAAAUCCCAUAAUCCCGCACGGACCACCGAUGGCGAAAGCACUUCGAGAAAACGGAUCCGACAGUGAGGGACGAAAGCCAGGGUCUCCAACCGGAUUAGAAACCCUGGUAGUCC